rnacentral:ncRNA from 1 species
CAAAAUGCUAUGAAGGGAAACAAAGCUCAUAUAUUGUUCCACAGAGAACUGCCGUUUGGUGAAAGGCAGCAGCAGCGUAUGAGAAAUAACUCCUCCCCGAGCAGCCGACCAAAAGAAUCAUAUUCAAGUAGGCUCGGACGGGCGCUCCCGUUACAGAGAUAUGCGUUGAUCCGACGCAGACGAGUGGGUGUAUUCUUACAUCAAGAAGAGUGGUACCACGGAGUAUUAAAGUAACUUCGUCUCUUCC